rnacentral:rRNA from 1 species
AAUGUGCCUUCGGGANCCGUGAGACAGGUGCUGCAUGGCUGUCGUCAGCUCGUGUUGUGAAAUGUUGGGUUAAGUCCCGCAACGAGCGCAACCCUUAUCCUUUGUUGCCAGCGGUCCGGCCGGGAACUCAAAGGAGACUGUUAGUGAUAAACUGGAGGAAGGUGGGGAUGACGUCAAGUCAUCAUGGCCCUUACGACCAGGGCUACACACGUGCUACAAUGGCGCAUACAAAGAGAAGCGACCUCGCGAGAGCAAGCGGACCUCAUAAAGUGCGUCGUAGUCCGGAUUGGAGUCUGCAACUCGACUCCAUGAAGUCGGAAUCGCUAGUAAUCGUGGAUCAGAAUGCCACGGUGAAUACGUUCCCGGGCCUUGUACACACCGCCCGUCACACCAUGGGAGUGGGUUGCAAAAGAAGUAGGUAGCUUAACCUUCGGG